GAGCCGGAGGGAAACCGAGUCUUAACCGGGCGUUAAGUUGCAGGGUAUAGACCCGAAACCCGGUGAUCUAGCCAUGGGCAGGUUGAAGGUUGGGUAACACUAACUGGAGGACCGAACCGACUAAUGUUGAAAAAUUAGCGGAUGACCUGUGGCUGGGGGUGAAAGGCCAAUCAAACCGGGAGAUAGCUGGUUCUCCCCGAAAGCUAUUUAGGUAGCGCCUCGUGAAUUCAUCUCCGGGGGUAGAGCACUGUUUCGGCUAGGGGGCCAUCCCGGCUUACCAACCCGAUGCAAACUGCGAAUACCGGAGAAUGUUAUCACGGGAGACACACGGCGGGUGCUAACGUCCGUCGUGAAGAGGGAAACAACCCAGACCGCCAGCUAAGGUCCCAAAGUCAUGGUUAAGUGGGAAACGAUGUGGGAAGGCCCAGACAGCCAGGAUGUUGGCUUAGAAGCAGCCAUCAUUUAAAGAAAGCGUAAUAGCUCACUGGUCGAGUCGGCCUGCGCGGAAGAUGUAACGGGGCUAAACCAUGCACCGAAGCUGCGGCAGCGACACUGUGUGUUGUUGGGUAGGGGAGCGUUCUGUAAGCCUGUGAAGGUGUGUCGUGAGGCAUGCUGGAGGUAUCAGAAGUGCGAAUGCUGACAUAAGUAACGAUAAAGCGGGUGAAAAGCCCGCUCGCCGGAAGACCAAGGGUUCCUGUCCAACGUUAAUCGGGGCAGGGUGAGUCGACCCCUAAGGCGAGGCCGAAAGGCGUAGUCGAUGGGAAACGGGUUAAUAUUCCCGUACUUGGUGUUACUGCGAAGGGGGGACGGAGAAGGCUAUGUUGGCCGGGCGACGGUUGUCCCGGUUUAAGCGUGUAGGUGUGUGUUCCAGGUAAAUCCGGUUCACUUUAACACUGAGGCGUGACGACGAGGCACUACGGUGCUGAAGCAACAAAUGCCCUGCUUCCAGGAAAAGCCUCUAAGCAUCAGGUAACAUCAAAUCGUACCCCAAACCGACACAGGUGGUCAGGUAGAGAAUACCAAGGCGCUUGAGAGAACUCGGGUGAAGGAACUAGGCAAAAUGGUGCCGUAACUUCGGGAGAAGGCACGCUGACACGUAGGUGAAGUGAUUUACUCAUGGAGCUGAAGUCAGUCGAAGAUACCAGCUGGCUGCAACUGUUUAUUAAAAACACAGCACUGUGCAAACACGAAAGUGGACGUAUACGGUGUGACGCCUGCCCGGUGCCGGAAGGUUAAUUGAUGGGGUCAGCGCAAGCGAAGCUCCUGAUCGAAGCCCCGGUAAACGGCGGCCGUAACUAUAACGGUCCUAAGGUAGCGAAAUUCCUUGUCGGGUAAGUUCCGACCUGCACGAAUGGCGUAAUGAUGGCCAGGCUGUCUCCACCCGAGACUCAGUGAAAUUGAACUCGCUGUGAAGAUGCAGUGUACCCGCGGCAAGACGGAAAGACCCCGUGAACCUUUACUAUAGCUUGACACUGAACAUUGAGCCUUGAUGUGUAGGAUAGGUGGGAGGCUUUGAAGUGUGGACGCCAGUCUGCAUGGAGCCGACCUUGAAAUACCACCCUUUAAUGUUUGAUGUUCUAACGUGGACCCGUUACCCGGGUUGCGGACAGUGUCUGGUGGGUAGUUUGACUGGGGCGGUCUCCUCCUAAAGAGUAACGGAGGAGCACGAAGGUUGGCUAAUCCUGGUCGGACAUCAGGAGGUUAGUGCAAUGGCAUAAGCCAGCUUGACUGCGAGCGUGACGGCGCGAGCAGGUGCGAAAGCAGGUCAUAGUGAUCCGGUGGUUCUGAAUGGAAGGGCCAUCGCUCAACGGAUAAAAGGUACUCCGGGGAUAACAGGCUGAUACCGCCCAAGAGUUCAUAUCGACGGCGGUGUUUGGCACCUCGAUGUCGGCUCAUCACAUCCUGGGGCUGAAGUAGGUCCCAAGGGUAUGGCUGUUCGCCAUUUAAAGUGGUACGCGAGCUGGGUUUAGAACGUCGUGAGACAGUUCGGUCCCUAUCUGCCGUGGGCGCUGGAGAACUGAGGGGGGCUGCUCCUAGUACGAGAGGACCGGAGUGGACGCAUCACUGGUGUUCGGGUUGUCAUGCCAAUGGCACUGCCCGGUAGCUAAAUGCGGAAGAGAUAAGUGCUGAAAGCAUCUAAGCACGAAACUUGCCCCGA
rnacentral:rRNA from 3 species